rnacentral:rRNA from 1 species
UACGAGAGGCCCAAACGUUAUUCGGAAUUACUGGGCUUAAAGAGUUCGUAGGCGGCAUGAAAAGCAGGGUGUGAAAGCCCUCGGCUCAACCGAGGAAUUGCGCUCUGAACUGGCGUGCUUGAGGAACCUAGAGGUGAGCAGAACAGAUGGUGGAGCGGUGAAAUGCGUUGAUAUCGAUCGGAACACCCAUGGCGAAGGCAGCUCGCUGGCCUGCAACUGACGCUGAGGCGCGAAAGCCGGGGGAGCAAACAGG